rnacentral:misc_RNA from 1 species
AAGACACAAAACACUCCUAAAACAGUGAAUCUAUAUAUUAGAUACUCUGAAGACGCAGAUCUGAAAUCCGAAGCAGUGAGCGCCAGAUCCCCUUCAAUGACGCAAUGAUCCGAGUAGCACGACGGCGGACGAGAUCAUGGCGGCGGCGGCGGCGGCCGGCGAUACUAGCGCCGCCGAGCCGGAGGUGGGACUCGGCGCAGGGGACUCGGCAUCCGCGGCGACCUUGCAAGCAAGGCACGCGAAAGCGAGAGCGACGAUGAAGACGAAGCUGAGCUUGGAGUCCAUGGACGCUGAGCUCCUCCUGCUCCGGUGGCUAGGGUU